GAUGAACGCUGGCGGCGUGCCUAAUACAUGCAAGUCGAGCGAACGGACGAGAAGCUUGCUUCUCUGAUGUUAGCGGCGGACGGGUGAGUAACACGUGGAUAACCUACCUAUAAGACUGGGAUAACUUCGGGAAACCGGAGCUAAUACCGGAUAAUAUUUUGAACCGCAUGGUUCAAAAGUGAAAGACGGUCUUGCUGUCACUUAUAGAUGGAUCCGCGCUGCAUUAGCUAGUUGGUAAGGUAACGGCUUACCAAGGCAACGAUGCAUAGCCGACCUGAGAGGGUGGUCGGCCACACUGGAACUGAGACACGGUCCAGACUCCUAGGGGAGGCAGCAGUAGGGAAUCUUCCGCAAUGGGCGAAAGCCUGACGGAGCAACGCCGCGUGAGUGAUGAAGGUCUUCGGAUCGUAAAACUCUGUUAUUAGGGAAGAACAUAUGUGUAAGUAACUGUGCACAUCUUGACGGUACCUAAUCAGAAAGCCACGGCUAACUACGUG
rnacentral:rRNA from 1 species